CGGUAUUGUAUGGCUUCAUCUUACCGGUCAUAGAGCUCAUGUACAAGAAAGCUAAACAACCCAUUACUUAUUCUCUGGUCAUGGAGAUGCAGAUGGUAAUGGCCUUCUCUGCUACUGUCUUCUGCGUGGUUGGAAUGUUAAUUAACCAUGACUUUCGGGUAUGUAUCUGUUUCUGAUAUGCUUAAUGUUAAUUAACCAUGACUUUCGGGUAUGUAUCUGUUUCUGAUAUGCUUAAUUCGCUUUGUUGAAUCUUGACUACUGUAUAAUUUUCUAUGAUGCAUAUAUAUAUUGUUAUAGUGAAAAAAUUUCUAAAAUAGAAUUCUAGUUUUCCAAUGUUUAAUUUGAUAAAAAUCCAAAAAAAAAUGAUGCACGGACAUGACAACCUAUAAUUAAUGAUAAUUGCACACCAGAAUCUGUAUUAUAAUAGGAUUCUUCUGUACAAACAAUCCUAGCCUGCAAUGCAUUAUAUAUACCAGCACUACACAACUUAGCUCGUCCUUGCUGCAGGCA
rnacentral:lncRNA from 1 species